rnacentral:SRP_RNA from 1 species
GCCGCCACGCUGGCGCGUGCCUGCAAUCCCCGCUGCUGGGGAGCAGAAGCUGGUGGAUCACUUGAGCAGGGCAGCUCUGGGCUGCCUUGUGCCCUGCUGAGCAGGAGUCCACCCUAGGGCUGGCACCAACCUGCUGGUGCAUGGGGAGCUGCACGUCCCCAGGUCACUAAGCAAGUGAGCCAGCUCCAGCCGGGAAAGGUGCAGGUCAAAGCUCCUGUGCUGACCCGUGCUGGGACAGCGCCUGCGAAUGGCCCUCGUGCCACGCCUGGGCAAGAGAGGGGGCUCAGCCUCUU